rnacentral:rRNA from 1 species
GUGGGGAAUAUUGCACAAUGGGCGCAAGCCUGACGCAGUGACGCCGCGUAUAGGAAGAAGGUUUUCGGAUUGUAAACUAUUGUCGUUAGGGAAGAAAUUGACAGUACCUAAGGAGGAAGCUCCGGCUAACUAUGUGCCAGCAGCCGCGGUAAUACAUAGGGAGCAAGCGUUAUCCGGAAUUAUUGGGUGUAAAGGGUGCGUAGACGGGAAAUUAAGUUAGUUGUGAAAUCCCUUGGCUUAACUGAGGAACUGCAACUAAAACUGGUUUUCUUGAGUAUUGGAGAGGAAAGUGGAAUUCCUAGUGUAGCGGUGAAAUGCGUAGAUAUUAGGAGGAACACCAGUGGCGAAGGCGACUUUCUGGACAAUAACUGACGUUGAGGCACGAAAGUGUGGGGAGCAAACAGGA